CCAAUCCCCGACUGUGGGACCUAAAAUGAACUCAACAGGCUGGAAAUAGAACAGCUGGGUAAACCCAAAACACUGUUUGGGUGUCUGCUGAGCAAGCACGUGAAUGAACAGAACUGGGGGAGCAAUUCGAGGAAGAAAUAGAUCAUUUCAUCUCAGAGCCCCUGACAACCACUGUUCUGCUGUCUGUCUCUAUGAACCUGACUACUGUACGGACCUCACAGAAGUGGAAUCGUGCAGUGUUCGUCCUUUGGUAAUUGGCUUAGCAUCACGUCUGGUGUGCAUGUCACGUGUUUUUUUAUCCAGUCAUGCGUUAGUGAAUAUUUGGGUUGUUUCUAUGUUUUGCCUGUUGUGAAUAAUGGGUCUACAGAUAUUUCCUUGAGAUCGACUUUCAGUUCUUCUGGGUAUAUACCUAGAAGUGGAAUUGCUGGAUCGUAGGGUAGUACUUGUUUAAUUUGCUGAGGUAAAAGCAACAUUUGUGAGCACCUAUGUGGUAUCAGCUCUGUGCUAGGCCCUUUCCACAUGACAUCUCACUUAAUCCAUAUCACAACCCUGUGGGAAGAAGAUUAUUGUCCCCAGUUUAUAAAAAGUGAAGAUUCCAGAAACUAAAUGACUUGUUCAAGGUGACAGAUAGUGACUGUGAGUCAAGUUUUGAACCCAGGUCGGCUUGAUUCCAAGGUCAUGCUCUUCCCAGGCAGCAGGCAAUGAAAACAAAUAUGGUAUUCAAGAGGUGGGGCCACAGUUUAAAGCUUUUGGCAGCUAAUGCUUUCUUUAAUUAACAAUUAACAUCUUAGGGGCACCUGGGUGGUUAAGCGUCUGCCUUCAGCUCAGGUCACGAUCCCAGAGUCCUGGGAUCCUUAGUUCUCCCCGGGGUUCCCUGCUCCGUGGAGAGUCUGCUUCUCCCUCUGCCCCUACCCCUGCUUGUGCUCUCGCUCUCCCACUGUCUCUCAAAUAAAUAAAUAAAAUCUUUAAAAAAAUAAAUAAAUAAAACAAAAACCAAUUAACAUCCUAGCAGGAAUCACAGAAGGAUGGGUCAUCACUUCCCCUUUCCCCAGGUCAAAUGAAACACUGUCUUCCAGACGGUUCUCAGACAAAGCUCCUCUUUAUCCUGGUCUCCUAUCACUCCUCCUCCCACAUCCCCAGGCCUCCCUUAUUUACUGGCUAAAGCCCACACGCCCCAGCUCCAGCCUUAUGUCCACCAGAAAUCUUCCCAGCUACAACCCCAGAAUGGGUCCCUCCCACUAGUUUCCCUGGACUCCCUUCUGUCAACUAGGCUCCCUGCCCUCUGUGUUACCCAUUUAUGUAUGAACCCCCCUCCCGGCCACAUGCUCUCCGGGGCACAGUUAACACUGUCCCUUCGUAUCACCUGAACCUCCCAGUGCCCGGCACUCGGGGAACAGUUUGAAUCAAUGAAUCAAUGAGUGACUCACUCAAUCAAUGACAGUAGGGAAGACAGGCACGAAGGAGAGAAAACCAGAAUUAUCCUCUUUUACUUCACUAUUCGUGUAAGACCAGGCUGGGAGUUGCUCAGAAUAAUUUGUGUGCCGUAUUUGGCACCACUGCGCAAGUCUGAGCCAUUUUGGGGUUGGAAACUCCCAGGGAAAGAGAUGGAAUUAUCCUCUCAGAGAAAUAUGCCCGCGUGGCUGGCCCGAGGAAGGGGAGGAGGAG
rnacentral:lncRNA from 1 species